rnacentral:sRNA from 1 species
GCUGCACCAUGACCCUGGAGGCGAUCCGCUACUCGCGGGGCUCCCUGCAGAUCCUAGACCAGCUGCUGCUGCCCCAGCAGAGCCGCUACGAGGCGGUGGGCUCGGUGCACCAGGCCUGGGAGGCCAUCCGCGCCAUGAAGGUGCGGGGCGCCCCGGCCAUAGCCCUGGUGGGCUGUCUCAGCCUCGCCGUGGAGCUGCAGGCGGGCGCCGGGGGACCGGGACUCGCCGCGCUCGUGGCCUUCGUGCGCGACAAGCUGAGCUUCCUCGUCACCGCCCGGCCCACCGCUGUCAACAUGGCCCGCGCCGCCCGCGACCUGGCUGAUGUUGCAGCCCGGGAGGCCGAACGGGAGGGCGCUACGGAAGAGGCGGUCCGGGAGAGAUGUGAAACGGAGCUAUGCGAGCAUUGGGAAGAGCAUACCAGGCAGAGGGAACUGCCACUGCGAGGGCCCCUGGGUGGGACUGUGCUCGGUAAGCCUUUCGCAAUCCACGCCCAGACUAGGAGCCUGCACCCCUAACCAAUGGACCACCCUGUCUGUUUGCCCCUCCCCGGGGCCUUCUCCUGGUGGGUGGGGCCCCCGCAGGUGUGAUCCGCUCACUGCACA